rnacentral:rRNA from 1 species
UCGAACGAAGCACAUACGGCGGAACUUUUCGGAGGGAAGAUGUAUGUGACUGAGUGGCGGACGGGUGAGUAACGCGUGGGUAACCUGCCCCAUAGAGGGGGACAACAGUUGGAAACGACUGCUAAUACCGCAUAAGAAAGAAUUGCCGCAUGGCAGUUUUUUGAAAGAUUUAUCGCUAUGGGAUGGACCCGCGUCUGAUUAGCUAGUUGGGAGGGUAACGGCCUACCAAGGCAACGAUCAGUAGCCGGCUUGAGAGAGUGAACGGCCACAUUGGGACUGAGACACGGCCCAGACUCCUACGGGAGGCAGCAGUGGGGAAUAUUGCACAAUGGGGGAAACCCUGAUGCAGCGACGCCGCGUGAGUGAAGAAGUAUUUAGGUAUGUAAAGCUCUAUCAGCAGGGAAGAAACCCACCCUCCGGGGUGGCUGACGGUACCUGACUAAGAAGCCCCGGCUAACUACGUGCCAGCAGCCGCGGUAAUACGUAGGGGGCAAGCGUUAUCCGGAUUUACUGGGUGUAAAGGGAGCGUAGGUGGCAAGGCAAGUCAGAUGUGAAAACCCGGGGCCCAACCCCGGGAGUGCAUUUGAAACUGUCUGGCUAGAGUGCAGGAGAGGUAAGUGGAAUUCCUAGUGUAGCGGUGAAAUGCAUAGAUAUUAGAAGGAACACCAGUGGCGAAGGCGGCUUACUGGACUGUAACUGACACUGAGGCUCGAAAGCGUGGG